GUGGAGGCAGCAGUGAGGAAUCUUCCGCAAUGGACGAAAGUCUGACGGAGCAACGCCGCGUGAGUGAUGAAGGCUUUCGGGUCGUAAAACUCUGUUGUUAGGGAAGAACAAGUGCUAGUUGAAUAAGCUGGCACCUUGACGGUACCUAACCAGAAAGCCACGGCUAACUACGUGCCAGCAGCCGCGGUAAUACGUAGGUGGCAAGCGUUAUCCGGAAUUAUUGGGCGUAAAGCGCGCGCAGGUGGUUUCUUAAGUCUGAUGUGAAAGCCCACGGCUCAACCGUGGAGGGUCAUUGGAAACUGGGAGACUUGAGUGCAGAAGAGGAAAGUGGAAUUCCAUGUGUAGCGGUGAAAUGCGUAGAGAUAUGGAGGAACACCAGUGGCGAAGGCGACUUUCUGGUCUGUAACUGACACUGAGGCGCGAAAGCGUGGGGAGCAAACAGGAUUAGAUACCCCGGUAGC
rnacentral:rRNA from 1 species